GACGAACGCUGGCGGCGUGCUUAACACAUGCAAGUCGAACGGAAAGGCCCUGCUUUUGUGGGGUUCUCGAGUGGCGAACGGGUGCGUAACACGUGAGUAACCUGCCCUUGACUUUGGGAUAACUUCAGGAAACUGGGGCUACUCCCGUAUAGGAGCUCCUGCUGCGUGGUGGGGGUUGGAAAGUUUCGGCGGUUGGGGAUGGACUGGCGGCUUAUCGGCUUGUUGGUGGGGUAGUGGCUUACCCAGGCUUUGACGGGUAGCCGGCCUGAGAGGGUGACCGGGCACAUGGGGACUGCGAGACGGACCAGACUCCUACGGGAGGCAGCAGGGGGGAAUAUGGCACAACGGGCGGAAGCCUGAUGCAGCAACGCCGCGUGCGGGAUGACGGCCUGCGGGGUGUAAACCGCUGUCGCCUGUGACGAAGCGGGAGUGACGGUAAUGGGUAAAGAAGCACCGGCUAACUACGUG
rnacentral:rRNA from 1 species